GUCUAUGGCCAUGCUACCCUGAACAAGCCCAAUCCCCCCGUCUGAUCUCGGAAGCUGAGCAGGGUCGGGCCUGGUUAGUACUUGGAUGAGAGACCACCUAGGAAGACCAGGUGCUGUAGGCA
rnacentral:rRNA from 1 species